rnacentral:rRNA from 1 species
UACGUAGGGGGCAAGCGUUGUCCGGAUUUAUUGGGCGUAAAGAGCGUGUAGGCGGCCAGAUAGGUCAGCUGUGAAAACUCGAGGCUCAACCUCGAGAUGUCGGCUGAAACCAUCUGGCUAGAGUCCGGAAGAGGAGAAUGGAAUUCCCGGUGUAGCGGUGAAAUGCGCAGAUAUCGGGAGGAACACCAGUGGCGAAGGCGGCGAUCUGGGAAGAUACUGACGCUGAGGUGCGAAAGCGUGGGGAGCAAACAGG